rnacentral:lncRNA from 1 species
AGCAGAGGGGAAAAAACAUUUUGGGGAGAAGACAAGUUAAUUUGGUCAAUUAUCAUCCAAAAGCAGUUCAAGUUGAAGAAAAGGAGAAAUUUUUAGCUUCUCCAUCUAGAGAGAAGCCCUUUUCUGAUGGAGAAAUUUUAAGAGAAAAUGAGGUUGUUCUUGGUUCCUUCUCAAACGUGAAAAAGAACGGGGCCUAAGCAAAUUUCCCAAAAAUGUUUCGUUGAAGCUGCUUUGAAAACUCAAAGUUUUGGUGAACAAGACAAACUUCCUUAAUCCAAAGUAAAUAUAUAUGGCUUAUUUGCAUUUCAAUGCUUGUGGAGUGUCCUAAAAAGUUUCAAGGUUUAUUUAUUGAAUAUUAAGAUAUGGGUCUCACG